rnacentral:tRNA from 1 species
AUUUCUUUAGUAUAUUAUUAGUACUGAUGCCUUCCAAGCAUCAAGAUCCGCCAGGGAAGAAAUA